rnacentral:rRNA from 1 species
GUUUGAUCCCGCCGGAGGCGACCGCUUUUGGAGUUCGAUUAAGCCAUGCGAGUAGAAGGAAAUUAGAUUCUUUGCGAACUGCUCAGUAACACGUGGAUAACCUGCCCUAUGCUCCGGAAUAACCUCGGGAAACUGAGAAUAAUACCGGAUAGAUCACAACGCCUGGAACGGUGUGUGGUUGAAAGAUUACGGCAUAGGAUGGGUCUGCGGCGUAUCAGGUUGUAGGGGGUGUAACGGACCUCCUAGCCAUCGACGCGUACGGGUGUUGGGAGACAUAGCCCGGAGACGGAUUCUGAGACACGAAUCCAGACCCUACGGGGUGCAGCAGGCGCGAAAACUUCACACUGCAGGAAACUGUGAUGAGGGAACUCCAAGUGCGCGCACUUAGUGUGCGCUUUUGUUGACUAUUAAUCGGUCAAUGAAUAAGGGCUGGGAAAGACCGGUGCCAGCCGCCGCGGUAAUACCGGCAGCUCAAGUGGUCGUCGCUUUUAUUGGGCCUAAAACGUCCGUAGCCUGUUUGGUAAAUCUGUGGGUAAAUCAACCAGCUUAACUGGUUGAAUUCUGCAGAGACUGCCAGACUAGGGACCGGGAGAGGUGUGGGGUACUCUAGGGGUAGGGGUAAAAUCCUGUCAUCCUUAGAGGACCACCAGUUGCGAAGGCGCCACACUGGAACGGAUUCGACGGUCAGGGACGAAGCCUAGGGGCACGAACCGGAUUAGAUACCCGGGUAGUCCUAGGUGUAAACGCUGUGAACUUGGUGUCGGGGAUCCGUAAUGGGUCCCCGGUGCCAGAGUGAAGAUGUUAAGUUCACUGCCUGGGGAGUACGGUCGCAAGGCUGAAACUUAAAGGAAUUGGCGGGGCAGCAC